AUCUUUUACUGUGAAAAAAUUAGAGUGAUCAAAGCAGGCUUAGGCCGUUGAAUACAUUAGCA
rnacentral:rRNA from 14 species